UGAAGAAAUAAUGUUUCUGGUGAAGGUUA
rnacentral:piRNA from 1 species